rnacentral:sRNA from 1 species
AAACUUGAUGCACGUCAGUUAAUUUGUUUCCCCCCGCCCGAUUCCGGGCGGCAUUGACUUCGGUCAAUUUUCUUCCGUGCCGGUUUGGCUAACUUAGCCCUAGCGCAACAGCAUAAAGGCGGGAGGUCAGUCAUGUUUUUCGAUAACGUGGUCAUUGCCGGGGUACUGACGGUGAGCCUCAUGGUGAUGUUCCUCGCAGGGUUCGGUUUUUUUAUCUGGAAAGACUCACAUAAGCGCAAAGCGCCCUAGGUUUUUCCAGGGGACGAGCACGCAAGGCAUUUUGGGCGACUUCGGUCGCCUUUU